rnacentral:rRNA from 1 species
AUUGAACGCUGGCGGCAUGCUUUACACAUGCAAGUCGAACGGCAGCGGGGUAGUGCUUGCACUACUGCCGGCGAGCGGCGCACGGGUGAGUAAUAUAUCGGAACGUACCGAGUAAUGGGGGAUAACCAAUCGAAAGAUUGGCUAAUACCGCAUACGUCCUGAGGGAGAAAGCGGGGGAUCGCAAGACCUCGCGUUAUUCGAGCGGCCGAUAACUGAUUAGCUAGUUGGUGGGGUAAAGGCCUACCAAGGCGACGAUCAGUAGCGGGUCUGAGAGGACGAUCCGCCACACUGGGACUGAGACACGGCCCAGACUCCUACGGGAGGCAGCAGUGGGGAAUUUUGGACAAUGGGGGCAACCCUGAUCCAGCCAUGCCGCGUGUAUGAAGAAGGCCUUCGGGUUGUAAAGUACUUUUGUUAGGGAAGAAAAGGGAAGUGCUAAUACCACUUUUUGCUGACGGUACCUAAAGAAUAAGCACCGGCUAACUACGUG